CUAUGCCAUUGUGAAAUGACGUUGGGGAUGGAGGUGUUGAUGGAACAUGGAGUAACGUGAUCUUUUGGCCUUUUGCAACUACAUUCUCAGUAGCCCAUCUAAGUGCAUAUUGGCUUCCUUUAUUUUUAUCAAUGGCCACAGCUACCAAUCUUUCUUCAUGCAAUCCUUGUGGACUCACCAUAGGACUUUAUUUGGAUGGAAACGAUCAACAAUUUCAAGACCCAAAUAACGUGGUUAUCAAAAUCAAGAUUUCAAGAGGGAAUAAUUUUCCCAACAUUAAUUUGGAAGAAGAAACCCUAGCUAUCGUCUUGUUUCUUGUUUUGGUCAAAAUCAACAUUAGGAAACACAUAAUGGUCGUCAAGAAUUCACUAAACCAUUUCCUGAUUAGAAGGAUGACCAUUAUUCUUGAACUUUUUCAACCAAAAGACGAUAAAGAAAGAUAAUGUCUAUACAUGUUUGAAUUUAAUAGCAAAGCUUUUGCAUGACAUUGAUUUCCAAAAUUACGAAAAACCACCAAUUUGGAAGGCUUUUUAUUUUUUCAUCGGAAGGCUUUUAAUAGUGCAGAAGAAAUUCAUCAUGCAUAUAAAAAAUUAACCUUUUUUUUCAUUUUUUGAAUUGGACAAAGAGCCCCUUGAUCUUGAAAUAAACGGUCAUCAUGAGGUGGUCGCACCCAUUCUUUAAAAGAAAUUGAAAAAUAAAAGAUUAUCUGAUAAUUAGGAGUGUACAUGAGUCGGGUUGGUUCGGAUUUUAUAAUUAUCAAGCCAAACCAAUUGUAUCGGU
rnacentral:lncRNA from 1 species